rnacentral:pre_miRNA from 1 species
CAAGUACUCCCUCCGUUUCAAAAUUCUUGUCUUAGAUUUGUCUAAAUACGGAUGUAUCUAGUUACGUUUUAGUGUUAGAUACAUCCGUAUCUAGACAAAUCUAAGACAAGAAUUUUGGGACGGAGAGAGUAGAUU